GAUGAAGAACGUGGCGAAAUGCGAUAAGUAAUGUGAAUUGCAGAAUUCAGUGAAUCAUCGAAUCUUUGAACGCACAUUGCGCCCGCCAGUAUUCUGGCGGGCAUGCCUGUUCGAGCGUCAUUUCAACCAUCAAGCCCCCGGCUUGUGUUGGGGACCUGCGGCUGCCGCAGGCCCUGAAAACCAGUGGCGGGCUCGCUAGUCACUCCGAGCGUAGUAAUACAUCUCGCUCAGGGCGUGCUGCGGGUUCCGGCCGUUAAAAGCCUUAUUUUACCCAAGGUUGACCUCGGAUCAGGUAGGAAGACCCGCUGAACUUAAGCAUAUCAAUAAGCGGAGGA
rnacentral:misc_RNA from 1 species